UCUAAAUACAUCUUACAAGCACGAAAUAGAGAUUGAAGAUGACUGAACAGGACACCUUAGGUGACAUCACUUGCAUCUGAGUCUUGGCUGGACAGGAUCCAUACCUCAUCACAGCUGUACUCCCCAAAUGGUGUCCAUCAUCCUAGACCUGGUAAUUCCCAGACCUGUGGAAGCUGUGAUGCUUGUGAGAUACUCCAAUGAACAUUCAGAAGCUUAAAUUACCAUGGCAACUUAUGACUCUAAGAUCCUGCUUCAAUAAAUGAAAAUGAUAGUUCUUCCUCCUCA